rnacentral:lncRNA from 1 species
UUUUAAAUUGAGGGUGGGGGUUAUGAUGUGGAGAUGGAAUUGGAGGUAGGGGUGGAAGGAAUGGGGAUGGAAUUGGAGGUAGGGGUGGAAGGUGUGGAGAUGGAGAUGAGGGUGAGAAAUUAUGAGUGGGUAGGGGUAUGUGUGUGAAAAGAAAAGAACGAAAUCUGAAAAAGUUGCAGUAGUUGUAGUACAUAGUUAUAGUGAUAUAAGG